rnacentral:lncRNA from 1 species
UGUGCACACAGUCGGAGCUAGUGAGAGUACAAAUAGCAGCGUAGCUGUGGCUGCAUGGGUAGUAGCAGUGGAGGCCACGGCUAAGCCAUGUGAAAUACAUACCCAUGGGUUUCAGACUAGGCCAUGCCUCCACUACCACUACUACCUGUGCUACCAUGGCUACAGUGUUAUUUACAGUCACACUAGCUUGCCGAGAGCUAGCGUGAGUGUGUGUACGCCAACAGGGGAAUCACUCCUCUAGCUCGUAGUGUAAACAUAGCGGAAGUAUAAGUGUUCUUGGGCUGUGGUAUGUUUGUAGUGGGUAGAACUAUUGCAUAAGGAUCCUGAUUGUCCUCUAACUUAACUGGCUUCAUAGCAGCAGAACUCCCUGGUUUUUAAUGGCGCUAUUCCUGAUUUAUGCCAAUGUGAGAGGAGAAUCAGGCCCGAUUUAUACAGCGCAUUUACUAUAUUUAUUUAACCUGUUGUAAAUCAAUGUUCCCUCUUAUUAAACAAGAGCAAAGUUUUCAACAAACCUAAAAAAUUGAUUUUUCAUCUUUUCCCAUACCAAACCUCAUCCAACUAUGUGGGUCUUGGUAAAGAAAUAAGGCAUUACUGGAGUGAAAAAUGCACCAAUUUUCACUCAAAAAAUUUCAAGCAAAAUUGAAAGAAAUCAUGAAUAUUUAGUAAUUUCCUAUUUUCAUAUUUAAAUUUCAAAAGAUCUCUUGGGUGGUGGCCAUGCAACACUUGGCAUUUCUCGUGCUUUUGAUUUGCAAAUGACCUGCACCCAAACAUUUCUGCGUUGCAAAUGGCUCAGACUGAAAUGAUGCAUUUUUGGGUCGUCAUUUUGCACAGCUCUGCCAAUUACCCAGUUCUCUCAUGAAAAAAAAAAAGCCAUUCAUUUAAAAUCCAACCCAGGUUGAAAAUGUAACAUUUAUGACUGAUGUACAAUUACAGAUCAAGAUGUCGAGCAGAGUUUAUAGCUUAUAUAGCUCUCAAACAUUAAAUCUACACAGAGGCAUAUCUCAUGAAACAAAGCUCCCCUCUCUGGCCAUUCUUUCAUCUUGGCUCACUCAAGUACUGAACAAUUUCCCUGUAUCUUCCAAGGAGAUCUUCCUGCCUCAGGGCAUGAAUGCUCCCAAUCACACAGGUAAGAUUCAGAUGGAGACCUUGCAAUGCAUCUUUCCAGCCAAAUCUACCCCUUGA